UACGUAGGGUGCAAGCGUUGUCCGGAAUUAUUGGGCGUAAAGAGCUCGUAGGCGGUUUGUCGCGUCUGCUGUGAAAACUCGGGGCUUAACUCCGGGCCUGCAGUGGGUACGGGCGGACUAGAGUGCGGUAGGGGAGACUGGAAUUCCUGGUGUAGCGGUGAAAUGCGCAGAUAUCAGGAGGAACACCCGUGGCGAAGGCGGCUCUCUGGGACGGUACUGACGCUGAGACGCGAAAGCGUGGGGAGCGAACAGG
rnacentral:rRNA from 1 species